rnacentral:rRNA from 1 species
CCAUGCGGAGAGACCAACAGGGAUUGCCUCAGUAACGGCGAGUGAAGCGGCAACAGCUCAAAUUUGAAAUCUGGCCCUCGGGUCCGAGUUGUAAUUUGUAGAGGAUGCUUUUGGCGCGGUGCCUUCCGAGUUCCCUGGAACGGGACGCCUUAGAGGGUGAGAGCCCCGUACGGUUGGACACCAAGCCUCUGUAAAGCUCCUUCGACGAGUCGAGUAGUUUGGGAAUGCUGCUCUAAAUGGGAGGUAAAUUUCUUCUAAAGCUAAAUAUUGGCCAGAGACCGAUAGCGCACAAGUAGAGUGAUCGAAAGAUGAAAAGCACUUUGAAAAGAGGGUUAAAUAGCACGUGAAAUUGUUGAAAGGGAAGCGUUUGCGACCAGACCUUUUCCUGGCGGAUCAUCCGGUGUUCUCACCGGUGCACUUCGCCAGGUCGAGGCCAGCAUCGGUUUCCGCGGGGGGAUAAAAGCUCUGGGAACGUAGCUCCUCCGGGAGUGUUAUAGCCCUCUGCACAAUACCCCCGCGGGGACCGAGGACCGCGCUCUAAGCAAGGAUGCUGGCGUAAUGGUUGUCAACGACCCGUCUUGAAACACGGACCAAGGAGUCGAACAUUUGUGCGAGUGUUUGGGUGUCAAACCCUCACGCGUAAUGAAGGUGAACGUAGGUGAGAGCCCUUACGGGUGCAUCAUCGACCGAUCCUGAUGUCUUCGGAUGGAUUUGAGUAAGAGCAUAACUGUUCGGACCCGAAAGAUGGUGAACUAUGCGUGGAUAGGGUGAAGCCAGAGGAAACUCUGGUGGAGGCUCGCAGCGGUUCUGACGUGCAAAUCGAUCGUCAAAUCUGCGCAUGGGGGCGAAAGACUUAUCGAACCAUCUAGUAGCUGGUUACCGCCGAAGUUUCCCUCAGAUAGCAGUGUUGUUCUUCAGUUUUAUGAGGUAAAGCGAAUGAUUAUGGACUCGGGGGCGCUUUUUUGCCUUCAUCCAUUCUCAAACUUUAAAUAUGUAAGAAGCCCUUGUUACUUAAUUGAACGGUGGGCAUUCGAA